ACGAUCAGCAGCGCGUGCCUCCGUAGCUCCCAGCCGCGGCGCCCGCCAGACAGCCCGGGCGCUGCUGUAUCCAUGGCAACCGCCCCGUCAAUGAUCUCCAUGGAAACCUCUAGCCGCUACUGCAGCGCGAAGCAGCCAUCCCAGAAGACUUCUCAGAGAGAACACGUAGACAAUGGAGACUGCUUGACCAAUGAGGGUGGACUCCACCUCACAAGCAUAGAUCUUUCCUGCAAUUUGAAAGAAACUGUAAAAGACGGUCACUCCCCCCAUAACUGAACACCUGGAAACACAUCUGGAGGACAAAGACUUUGAACCGGGGAGGGUCAUCCCAGGCUGGGAGGCAGUUCCAGCCUGUAUAUUGAAGAUCUGCAACCUGUUUAUACCAUCUGUCAGGGUGAGACACUGCUUAAUUCAAAUCCCAUUUAGAUUGUAGAAUUCAGACUGUGAAUUUAGUUUUGUUUCUUAGGUAACCAACUUUUAUCUGUAUGCUUGCUACUUAUAAUCACUUAAAAUCUAUCUUUCUGUAGUUAAUAAAUCUGUUCUAUAUUUUACCUAAAACAGUGUGUUUUGUUUGAAGUGCUCAGGAAAUCUGCUCAGGUUACAAAAGCUGGUGUACGUCCACUUUCUUUUGUAGAAGUGGCGAACUGCAUAAUGCUUUUAAAUCAAGAUUGGAUGUUUUUCUGAAAGCUAUGAUAUAGAAAUUAUUUUGGGGAAGUUCUAUGGCCUGUGUUAUAGAGGCGGUUAGACUAGAUUAUCAUAAUGGUCACUUCUGGCCUUGAAAUCUAUGAAUCUAUGCAAGAAACGUUUAAAGUAGAAAGUCCAGGGGAACUUGUAAAGAGCGAGAACUUUCCAUCAGAAUCUGUGUCUACAGGGCUAACUUUGUUUUAAAGUGCACAGGAUUACUAGGAAUCAAAGGCUCAGGAAGUAGAGUUCCUUCUAAACUUGAAGGGUUUUUAGUGGCAAAAUGUUUACAGUGUUAAAGAAGAAUCAUCAGGUCUCCCCCAAAUUUGUAGGCAGUCAUAUGAUGAGACUGAACCCUGAUUGCCAUCCUAGUAACCAGCAGAACAGCUUUAGGUUUUGAUGCUGAAAAUGAUUAAAUUUGAUAAUAUUAUUUAACUUUGACAGCAUUUCCCAGUAGAAAUGGUUGGAGCUGUGCUGCCAUUUAUACUGGGGUUUCUUGGAUGAGGUUGGGAAGGGUCUGUGGAGAGAGACGCAAAGAGGAAAGGCUCUCUGUUCUGACAAACCACCCACUGCUCCUCACCGACCUCUUAGGUCAGGGGUCCCCAACGCGGUGCCCGCGGGCACCAUGGCGCCUGCCGGGGUGUCUAAGUGGACCCGCGUACUGGCCAGCAGACGAGCAUCCGCCAAAAUGCCGUCGAGAAGCAGCGUCAUCCAGCGACGUCGCCUCUGGAUGACGCUGCUUCUCGGUGGCAUUUCGACGGUGACACCUAUUAAUGUUGCCGCUUGUUGGUGGCAUUUCGGCGGAUGCUCGUCCGCUGCCAUGGUCCUCCGUGGUGCCAGACAAAAAAGGUUGGGGACCACUAUCUUAGGUGAUUUGUCAGGGCACCUCUUCCCUCUCCACUACUCUCUUAUAAAAGGCCCUGUGAGAUGCUCAGUGUCUCCUGUGAGAUCCUGAACACACUUAGUUUCCAUCAGUGUUAAGACCUAAGCACAUACCUCUUAACAACCCCUUCCCCCCCCCGCCCCCCAAGCUACUGCAUGUUCUCAGUAUACAAUUUUCAAAGUCUCUUAGCUUUGUAAAAUAAAAACAAUUAUUUUUCAAACUAAGCAAAAGCACUAAUCCUCAGAGGACUAUAUCCAGGCAAAGUUUCAACUUGGAAACAUGGAAAGAGAUUCUACGGCUUGAAAUUUUUAAUGCAAGAAAACUAUUUGUUCAUUUUUCCACAAUUAAAAAUGGUUGAAACAAUGUAAUUUAUGUUAAAAUAAACAAUUCACCUUCAGGCAGAAAACAAGCAUAGAAAAUAUUUGAUCCAAAGGUGAAUGCAUUGGAAAACUAUUAAUAUGCAAAAAUGGAAGAUUAUAACCAAGUAUUCUGCAACCUUUACUCUAAUUGUUGCUAACAGCCCACCUGCUCAAAGUAUCUGCACACGCUGCUAGGCAUAUGGAGGAAAGUGCAGUUCCUUUGAGCAAGUGGGGGCUGUUAGCAACUGCUAGAGUUAAAGUUGCAAAAUACUUGCUGUUGUUAUCUUCCUUUCAUUUUGUCUUACUGCAGCUGUAAGGUGAUGAGUCAUCCCUGAACUAGAGCCUGAUUAAGCCAUGUACACUAAUAAGUCAUUCCUGUGCUAGGCACCAGCCAAUCCACAACCCAGGAGAUGGUCUGGUGACUUUUAGGGUAGGUAUAUAAGCCUCACAGGCGGCACAGCAGAGCAGCUCACCCUGAUGAAUGUUACUUGAGAGCUGUGAACUUGCUCCUGUCUGAGAAUAGCAGUGGAUGUGCCAAACCUUAGCCUGCUCUAGCUUUGCUCUCACUCUGGUCUUGUUCCAACUUCAUACUGGACUCCUGAGUCCAGCUGUGACCAUUAGGAAUGACUAUCCUCAUCAUGGUUGCUGACUUGUAGGCUUGUAAGAUGAAUAUUGUUAAUUCUUCUCCAGUAAGACUGUCCAAAUAAAUUUAUUUCUAUUUAACUUACAACCUUAGAUGCACAUACAUAGCAUUUUGUAUUACUGUAGAUGUUUUGAUUGUAUAAUAAAAGACCCUAUGGUAAUAUGUCCAACAGGAAAGCUAAACUGUUGAGAAUUCUGAAUUUCCUAAUGUUUGUGUGAUGAAAAUCUGACUAGGUUGCAUUAAUCUGUCUUUUGCAUGUAUGAUAAACAUGUGUUUAUUAAUCUAUUUGUCAUAUUUAUGGAUCUACAUAUGCUGCAGUAAUACAGACCUACAUUUAAAAAAAUCUUUUGUAUGAAGGACACUACACAAAAGUGAAUUGGCUUGCAUUACAUAUGCUAUCAACUCCAACCUCCUCUUGGUAUUCCACAGUUUCAAGAGCAGCAUAGCAUUUGACAGAGUUCAUUAACUAUUGGAACUGGCUUCUGGAAUCUGUGUUUCUCCUGCAGGAGUUGAUGGCAUCACUGACAUCUAAAGCAGUGGUUCUCAACCAAGUGGUACACGUAACCCUGGGGGUAUGCAGAGGUCUUCCGGGGGGUACAUCAACUCAUCUAGAUAUUUGCCUAGUUUUACAAUAGGCUACAUAAAAAG